GAUGAACGCUGGCGGCGUGCCUAAUACAUGCAAGUCGAGCGAACAGACGAGUCGCUUUCUCCUCUGACGUUAGCGGCGGACGGGUGAUUAACACGUUGAUAACCUACCUAUAAUACUGGGAUAACUUCGGGAAACCGGCGCUAAUACCGUAUUAUAUCUUGAACCGCAUGUUUCAAUAUUGAUCGACGGUUUUGCUGUCACUUAUAGAUGGAUCCGCGCCGCAUUAGCUAGUUGGUAAGGUAACGGCUUACCAAGGCAACGAUGCGUAGCCGACCUGAGAGGGUGAUAGGCCACACGGGAACUGAAACAGGGACCAGGCUACUAAGGGAGGCAGCAGUAGGGAAUGUGACGCAGUGGGCGGAAGCCUGGCGGAGCAACGCCACGUGAGUGAUGAAGGUCUUCGGAUCGUAAAACUCUGUUAUUAGGGAAGAACAAAUGUGUAAGUAACUAUGCACGACGUGACGGUACCUAAUCAGAAAGCCACGGCUAACUACGUG
rnacentral:rRNA from 1 species